rnacentral:rRNA from 1 species
CCUACGGGUGGCUGCAGUGGGGAAUAUUGCACAAUGGGGGAAACUCUGAUGCAGCGAAGCCGCGUGAGCGAUGAAGUAUUUCGGUAUGUAAAGCUCUAUCAGCAGGGAAGAAAAUGACGGUACCUGACUAAGAAGCCCCGGCUAACUACGUGCCAGCAGCCGCGGGAAUACGUAGGGGGCACGCGUUAUCCGGAUUUACUGGGUGUAAAGGGAGUGUAGACGGCGAUGCAAGCCAGAUGUGAAAGCCCGGGGCUCAACCCCGGGACUGCAUUUGGAACUGUAUAGCUUGAGUGUCGGAGAGGCAGGCGGAAUUCCUAGUGUAGCGGUGAAAUGCGUAGAUAUUAGGAGGAACACCAGUGGCGAAGGCGGCCUGCUGGACGAUGACUGACGUUGAGGCUCGAAAGCGUGGGUAGCAAACAGGAUUAGAUACCCUGGUAGUC